rnacentral:rRNA from 1 species
AAUAGUAAUGUUCUUGAAACCCAAAGAAUUUGGCGGUAUUUUAUUUCUUUUAGAGGAACCUGUCCCUUAAUUGAUAAUCCACGAUGAAAAUUUACUUAUUUUUGUAUUCAGCUUGUAUACCUCCGUCAUCAGAGUAUCUUUUGAAAGUUAAUAUUCUAGUAAUACAAAAUAUAAUAUGUCAGGUCAAGGUGCAGCUUAUAAAUAAGUGGUGAUGGGUUACAAUAAAUUUAUUUAUACGGAUUAAUAUUAUUAAUGAAUAUUAUAAAGGAGGAUUUAAAAGUAAAAUUACUUUCUUGGUAAUUUGAUUUUAGCUCUAAAAUAUGCACACAUCGCCCGUCGCUCUUAUUUUAAAAUAAGAUAAGUCGUAACAUAGUAGGUGUACCGGAAGGUGUACCUAGAA